rnacentral:lncRNA from 1 species
GGCGCUAUGAAACGAUAGCGAGAUAGAGAGUGCCCCCCUUGCACAACAAUAUUGUAAACAUUGUGCUACGGGGUUUACAGCCAGCCGCCCUAGCCGAUCGGCUUUUUAUGACCGACGAGGACUUAUUCCUUACCACAGCAUAACUCUACCGCCGAGUCAACAGCACUUAUUCGGAUAAACCGUAGGAGCAGAUACAAAUCUAGUUUGGUCGCCGAUCGGUGGCAAGGAUGUGCUCUUUCGGGGGGGCUCGAGCCAAAUAGGCUCCGUGGCUGGCUUUCGUACUACGCGCGCUGCGCGGGCGCGAUUGCAUAAUAAGUCUAAUCAGUCACCGCAGCGUCGGUUCAGUUAUGCGGCCGCCGGAUCGAUCAUCCCCCUCGUGGCGCAACCCACACUUCCGUCGCGUAGUUACCAUAGAAGAAGGAUGGGGGACCCUAUCGUCCCCACCGCCAUUCCCAGCUAGCCAUGACCACUUGUUGGAUCGGUUACUCAUAUUGUGUAAGAUUGACAUGACCUGUCAGCUCUUAUAUCCGUUUCAUAAGAUGACCAAUUAAAACGGGGAGGCAUAACGUAUUUGUUUGCCUUUUAUUGUCGGAGUUGAAAACAAUCUUAUUUCUGGCUGGCCGGCCGGCGAAGGGGUGUUACACGGCAGAAUGGGGGGGGUCCUCCUCGUGUGAUUCCGUGCUCUCAACAGACGCACAUUGAUUGCGAAGCGAAAAAUAGUUCGUUUGACUGAUAAUGAGGAGGCAAGCUCGACCUAAAAAAUAGUGGCAUACUUGCCCUAUGUUAAAUGGGCUUACCUCGGCCAUCCUAUACUUUUCGGACCAAUUCGUAAGACUACCGCAUACUCGAGUGUACAGAAAGAAAUCAUUCAUGUGAUUGGCGUGAGUGAGGGAGCUAACACUUGCUGGGGAAAUACCCUACUCAGGUCAUCCUGGUAGGGACUGAGCCGAGGCUUUGGCCCAUGACCGACCAAAGUUUCUGUCUCGCCGAUUC